GACGAACCGUGCAAACGUUGUUCGGAAUCACUGGGCUUAAAGGGCGCGUAGGCGGCUUAUCAAGUCGGGGGUGAAAUACUUCAGCUUAACUGGAGAAGUGCCUUCGAUACUGGUGGGCUUGAGGGAGGUAGGGGUCUGUGGAACUUCUGGUGGAGCGGUGAAAUGCGUUGAUAUCGGAAGGAACGCCGGUGGCGAAAGCGACGGACUGGAUCUCUUCUGACGCUGAGGCGCGAAAGCCAGGGGAGCAAACGGG
rnacentral:rRNA from 1 species